rnacentral:rRNA from 1 species
AUUGAACGCUGGCGGCAGGCCUAACACAUGCAAGUCGAGCGGAUGAAGGGAGCUUGCUCCUGGAUUCAGCGGCGGACGGGUGAGUAAUGCCUAGGAAUCUGCCUGGUAGUGGGGGAUAACGUCCGGAAACGGGCGCUAAUACCGCAUACGUCCUGAGGGAGAAAGUGGGGGAUCUUCGGACCUCACGCUAUCAGAUGAGCCUAGGUCGGAUUAGCUAGUUGGUGGGGUAAAGGCCUACCAAGGCGACGAUCCGUAACUGGUCUGAGAGGAUGAUCAGUCACACAGGAACUGAAACACGGUCCAGACUCCUACGGGAGGCAGCAGUGGGGAAUAUUGGACGAUGGGCGAAAGCCUGAUCCAGCCAUGCCGCGUGUGUGAAGAAGGUCUUCGGAUUGUAAAGCACUUUAAGUUGGGAGGAAGGGCAGUAAGUUAAUACCUUGCUGUUUUGACGUUACCAACAGAAUAAGCACCGGCUAACUUCGUG